UGAAAGAUAAGCUAAAAUAAAGCUAAAGGGUUCAUACCCCUUCCAUGAUUUUUAUCUCUUUCAA
rnacentral:tRNA from 1 species